rnacentral:misc_RNA from 1 species
AACGCACCUUGCGCUCCUAGGUCUUCCGAGGAGCAUGCCUGUUUGAGUGCCCAGAACUACUCUCAACUAACACCUUGUGUGUGAGUUGGAUGUGGGGGUUCUGCUGUCGACUUGUUCACAGCUCCUCCUAAAUAUGUUAGCCUGUUGGUGAUGAACCGCUGUCGGCUUGAUAUUACGUCUAUGCUGCAGCUGUACAUGUAUCCAUGGCUUAUAAUCGUCUUCGGACAAUAUUCUGAGCUCGGGCCUCAAAUCAGGUAGGAUUACCCGCUGAACUUAA